rnacentral:rRNA from 1 species
UACGUAGGGUGCGAGCGUUACUCGGAAUUACUGGGCGUAAAGCGUGCGCAGGCGGUUCGUUGCGUCGGCGGUGAAAGCCCCGGGCUUAACCUGGGAAUGGCCGUUGAAACUGGCGAACUGGAGUGUGGCAGAGGGGGGUGGAAUUCCGCGUGUAGCAGUGAAAUGCGUAGAGAUGCGGAGGAACACCGAUGGCGAAGGCAGCCCCCUGGGCUAACACUGACGCUCAGGCACGAAAGCGUGGGGAGCAAACAGG